rnacentral:rRNA from 1 species
UACGGAGGGUGCAAGCGUUAAUCGGAAUUACUGGGCGUAAAGCGUGCGUAGGCGGUUCGUUAAGUCUGUUGUGAAAGCCCCGGGCUCAACCUGGGAAUGGCAAUGGAUACUGGCGAGCUAGAGUGUGUCAGAGGAUGGUGGAAUUCCCGGUGUAGCGGUGAAAUGCGUAGAGAUGCGGAGGAACACCAGUGGCGAAAGCGACUUUCUGGUCCUUAACUGACGCUGAGGCGCGAAAGCAUGGGGAGCGAAACGGG